rnacentral:lncRNA from 1 species
ACUUGCUGAUUUUCAGAUUUCGACAUGAGCUUCUAGAACCAGCAAUUUAAAGAGACAUCUUUGAACAUAUUCAGGAAGGGCAGCUCCACUUUCCAUUGCAAACACUGAACAUGAAGGUGAUGCUACUGAGAGCAGACUCCAGGCCAGGUGUUCUUCUGAACCGCAGCACUCCAGAGACAGGUCCAUAAUAAAAUAAAAAAGAAAAAGGAAAACAAAAAAUAUUUGUCAGAAUACAUAGAUACAUUUUUACAAUUUCUAUGAUUUAAGUUCUAAAAUAAAAGUGUCUGACCAAGUACA